CAGCAGCCACGGGAAUACGAAGGGGGCUAGCGUUGCUCGGAAUUACUGGGCGUAAAGGGAGCGUAGGCGGAUCGUUAAGUUGGGGGUGAAAGCCCGGGGCUCAACCUCGGAACUGCCUUCAAUACUGGCGAUCUUGAGUAUGAGAGAAGUGUGUGGAACUCCGAGUGUAGAGGUGAAAUUCGUAGAUAUUCGGAAGAACACCAGUGGCGAAGGCGACACACUGGCUCAUUACUGACGCUGAGGCUCGAAAGCGUGGGGAGCAAACAGGAUUAGAUACCCCCGUAGUCCCUGUCUCUUAUAC
rnacentral:rRNA from 1 species